rnacentral:rRNA from 1 species
GAUGAACGCUGGCGGCGUGCCUAAUACAUGCAAGUCGAGCGAAGCGGGGACGGGUGCGUAACGAGUGGAAAACCACCUAUAGGACUGGGCUAACAUCGGAACAACGGAGAUAAAACGAAUACUUAUUGAUGGAUCGGCGCUGCAUAAGCUAAUUGGUAAGGUAACGGCUUAACAAGGCAACGAUGAAUAGCCGACCUGAGAGAGUGAUCGGGCACACUGGAACUGAGACACGGUCCAUACUCCUACGGGAGGCAGCAGUAGGGAAUCUUCCGCAAUGGGCGAAAGCCUGACGGAGCAACGCCGCGUGAGUGAUGAAGGUCUUCGGAUCGUAAAACUCUGUUAUUAGGGAAGCGGUACCUAAUCAGAAAGCAACGGCUAACUACGAUCCAGCAGCGGCGGUAAUUG